rnacentral:rRNA from 1 species
AUACGGAGGGUGCAAGCGUUACUCGGAAUCACUGGGCGUAAAGCGCGCGCAGGCGGCUAUUUAAGUUGGAUGUGAAAGCCUACGGCUCAACCGUAGAACUGCAUCCAAAACUAUUUAGCUAGAGUGUGGGAGAGGAAGAUGGAAUUAGUUGUGUAGGGGUAAAAUCCGUAGAGAUAACUAGGAAUACCAAAAGCGAAGGCAAUCUUCUGGAACACUACUGACGCUGAGGCGCGAAAGCGUGGGAGCAAACAGGAUUAGAUACCCUAGUAGUCC